GUUUGAUCAUGGCUCAGAAUCAACGCUGGCGGCGUGCCUAACACAUGCAAGUCGAACGCGACCCGGGGCUUCGGUUCCGGGUUGAGUGGCGAACGGGUGAGUAACGCGUGGGUGACCUGCCCUUGAGUGGGGGAUAACGUUUCGAAAGAGACGCUAAUACCGCAUGACAUCGCAAGAUCAAAGCCGGGGAUCGCAAGACCUGGCGCUCGAGGAGGGGCCCGCGUCCGAUUAGCUAGUUGGUGGGGUAAAGGCUCACCAAGGCAACGAUCGGUAGCCGGCCUGAGAGGGCGGACGGCCACACUGGGACUGAGACACGGCCCAGACUCCUACGGGAGGCAGCAGUGGGGAAUUGUUCGCAAUGGGCGCAAGCCUGACGACGCAACGCCGCGUGGAGGAUGAAGGUCUUCGGAUUGUAAACUCCUGUCGUGUGGGAAGAACGACCCUGUGGUGAACAGCCGCGGGGUAUGACGGUACCACGUGAGGAAGCCCCGGCUAACUCUGUGCCAGCAGCCGCGGUAAUACAGAGGGGGCAAGCGUUGUUCGGAAUUACUGGGCGUAAAGGGCGCGUAGGCGGCCCACUAAGUCAGACGUGAAAUCCCACGGCUCAACCGUGGAACUGCGUCUGAGACUGGAGGGCUUGAAUCCGGGAGAGGGAUGCGGAAUUCCAGGUGUAGCGGUGAAAUGCGUAGAUAUCUGGAGGAACACCGGUGGCGAAGGCGGCAUCCUGGACCGGCAUUGACGCUGAGGCGCGAAAGCCAGGGGAGCAAACGGGAUUAGAUACCCCGGUAGUCCUGGCCCUAAACGAUGAGUGCUUGGUGUGGCGGGUAUCGAUCCCUGCCGUGCCGAAGCUAACGCAUUAAGCACUCCGCCUGGGGAGUAC
rnacentral:rRNA from 1 species